ACGUGGCACGUCGCCAUUUGUGGGUGUCUGUGUUAGCGUUAUGGCGUUCUCUUCCGUCUUCCCCAACAGUCACCGUAUCUUCUUCCGCUCCCAGUCUGCGUGACCCAACUCACUACGCGUUUUCUCUUUUCAAUGGGUCUUUCUAGAAUUUUCAUGAUUUUUCUUGCUUCCAAACAUUCUUUUA